GGCCCCUUCGACUAUCAUGGGAGGUCGUGCCUUCCCGGUGAACCUGCGGGUUUAAACGGACGCGGUAAAUCGUGCAAAGGUAGCUAAAUUAUGGCCUAUUAAUUGUAGGUCCUGUGAAUGGUUUGACGAGUCUUCAACUGUCUCUAGUUUGUUUUGGUGAACUUGAAUUGGAUGUGCAAAUGCUUCCGUGAGAAAGAAAGACGAGAAGACCCCGUGAAGCUAGAAAUUUAAGCUGCAAUCGUUAACCUCCUAGGCUGUGAGUCGUUUUGGUUAAGAUAGUUCUAAGUUGGAGGGUGUGGUGGUAGUUUCGGCUGGGGCAGCAAAAGAGCAAAUAAAGACUCUGAUUAGAUGAGAGGCGGGUGCGCUACGACCCACAUAAAUAGAAGUUUGUGAUUAGCAGAAAAAGUUACUCCGGGGAUAACAGCGUUAUCUACCCUGAUAGUUCUUAUAGAUGGGUGGGUUUGCGACCUCGAUGUUGGCUCUGGGUAUCCUUGGGCUUGCAGGCGGUCCUUAGGGUUGGUUCGUUCGCCCAUUAAAACCCG
rnacentral:rRNA from 1 species